UUCAGAAAGAUUAAACUAGGAAAAUUUAUAUAUCCUUCAUUAUUUUACAAUGAUAAUAUGUAUAUAAAUAAACAAAUUUCAACAACAAUGUUAAUAAAAAAUCGAUAGUAAACAGUGUAACAUAUAAUUCACUCUAUGGCACACAAUAUACAGAGACAAUCAAAUUCACUCGGUAAUUAAAAUUAACUAAAAAACAACAUGAAUCUCUCUGCAGAAACGAAUCGAUUUUGUACACAAAUACACAAACAAAACAAAACGAAUCCACUCAGAAGAUUCAGUGGUUUAAAAUGGCUAGCAUUGACAACACAACCGAGGCUCCAAGAGCGGCCACAGAGGUUGAAACAGAUCCGGCUGCUCCGGCGUCAGGAGAAGGCGCGGGUGACUGGACAGUGCCCUGUGCGGAGGCGGCCACCGCAAAGAGGGUGAGGAGAAGGAGGAAGGUUAGGGACUUGGACAUGGUGACUUGUGAUGAUGCCAUAUAUAUAUGGAAGUGACGGUUGAAGUUUUGAGAGAGAGAGAGAGAGAGAGAGAGAGAGCAAAUGAAAGACUUGUUGAUUGAGGUUGAGAUUGAGAUGAAAAUGCAAGAAGGAACUAUUUA
rnacentral:lncRNA from 1 species